UUUAAUUGCAAUUGUAGGUUUUUAUGUCCAAUGUUUGACUGUCCGUAUUAUUUGAAGCUUUUUAUGAUUAAUAUUUUUGUUGUUAUUAGAUGAUAAAACAUUAAUAGUACUUUAUGCAUGACUUAUUUUUAAAAAAAAAUCAUAAAAUUUAAAAUAAUACGUACAGUCAAAUGUUAGACAUGGAAACUCAUGACUACAUUUAAA
rfam:Oryza nivara chromosome 12, whole genome shotgun sequence.